GGUUAACGAGGCAGCCCGGGAAGAGCUCCGGUUAACGGGGCUUUCAUCGAACCAGAACCGCCCCAGCCGCCAGCACGGCACGCGGGAGGCACCGCAGAUGGACCGGGCAAGGCCGGAGUAACCACGGGGGUUACUCUGUAAAAUAAUAAUGCCUAGAGACAAAGUAGCCAGAAAAGGCAGGAAGAAAACAAAAAAAAGCCAGUACAAACACUGUAUUUGAAACUAAAUUAAACAAAAAAAUCUUGAUAGCGAAGGGCUUCUGGCUGGAGAACUUCCUGGGGAGCAAUCCUGCCCCUCUGUGAGGGAAUGCCAGGGCAGCUCCAGCUGAAACCUGCACCAAACACCACAAAUAUUUCAGAUAUUUGCAGUAAGCCUCUGGUGUUUAAUAAUUGAUUCACUUUCCCAUCGAAUGGCACAUUCACUCCACAAGACUUGAACACCUUUCUGGUAGUUUUAUUUACAGCCUGCAGCGUGUUCUGUAAAACACAGGAGUGGUCACAGACAGACACACAACAUGGGGAUUUUCAAACAUUUAAAUAAGUACAGUUUAUUCCAAAGUAAGUCUACACGCUAGUCUUUCCAUAAAAAUAUAAAAAAUUGUUUAGUAACUGUAUUUAACCUAAAUCAGGAUGCUUGAGAAUUCUUCAAGUGAUGCCCCCUCCCCAAAAGGGCACUCCAAGGAUAAGAAAUUCAGGAGACUGAAUCACCAAACAAAACACUAACUGCAACUGUUUCAAUCCACCAGAAAAAAAAACAACUCCCACUCUGCAUCCAGCAAUCCCUGCUCUGCAGCAUGUUUGGAUCUGCUUUUGUUGGGUUUGUGGGGUUUGCACUCACUGCUCCAGGGCCACUCCCACAAGCAAAGAUCGAGGGGAUUCCUGCAGACUGGCACCCAGCACAGCUGGCAAUCCUGCAUUCACACAUUCCUCGGGAAGCACAUCCAGAGGGGAGCACUUUCCCUUGAGACCUUCCCUUCAGGGAGUCUCUUUUUACUGA